rnacentral:rRNA from 1 species
UACGGGGGGUGCAAGCGUUGUCCGGAAUGAUUGGGCGUAAAGCAUCUGUAGGUGGUUCCUAAAGUCAACUGUCAAAUCCCAGAGCUCAACUUUGGACAGGCAGUUGAGUACUUAGGGGCUUGAGUAUGGUAGGGGUAGAGGGAAUUCCUAGUGGAGCGGUGAAAUGCACAGAGAUUAGGAAGAACACCAGUGGCGAAGGCGCUCUACUGGGCCAUAACUGACACUGAGAGAUGAAAGUUGGGGGAGCGAAAAGG